AGCAGCCGCGGUAAUUCCAGCUCCAAUAGCGUAUAUUAAAGUUGUUGCAGUUAAAAAGCUCGUAGUUGAACUUCGGGGUUUACUCAUUGGUCAGGCUUAAUUGUCUGUACUGGUGAGAUGAAUCUCUACCUUCUGAGGAACUUUCAUGCCAUUUAUUUGGUGUGGUUGGAAAUCAGGACUGUUACUUUGAAAAAUUAGAGUGUUUAAAGCAGGCUAACGUCUGAAUACAUUAGCAUGGAAUAAUGAAAUAGGACGGAUUGAUUCUAUUUCGUUGGUUUCUAGGGUCACCGUAAUGAUUAAUAGGGAUAGUUGGGGGCAUUAGUAUUCAAUUGUCAGAGGUGAAAUUCUUGGAUUUAUUGAAGACUAACUACUGCGAAAGCAUUUGCCAAGGAUGUUAUCAUUAAUCAAGAACGAAAGUUAGGGGAUCGAAGACGAUCAGAUACCGUCGUAGUCUUAACCAUAAAACUAUGCCGAC
rnacentral:rRNA from 1 species